UACGGAGGGUGCAAACGUUGCUCGGAAUUAUUGGGCGUAAAGCGCACGUAGGCGGACCGCUAAGUCGGAUGUGAAAUCCCUCAGCUUAACUGAGGAAGUGCAUUCGAAACUGACGGUCUUGAGUACGGAAGAGGGUCGCGGAAUUCCCGGUGUAGAGGUGAAAUUCGUAGAUAUCGGGAGGAACACCAGUGGCGAAGGCGGCGACCUGGGCCGAUACUGACGCUGAGGUGCGAAAGCGUGGGGAGCAAACAGG
rnacentral:rRNA from 1 species